GUGAAGAUUUGUCAGUUCAGAAAUGUCAUGGAAAAUAGAUUAGUCAUAAAGACAAGACGUUUUUAAGAAAACCCUGUCAAGUAAGAUUUGUGGCAGUAAAGUAUGUGAUCCUCGGCAGGAAUCAUCUCCUCUAACAUAUGGGUGUCUCUUGGUCCAAAAGGCUUCUCUGUGGGCAAGAGUCUGCUGAGCUAUGAAGGAGGUGUUCCGGACUCUCUGCUCUCCUACAGGAUGACAGCUGGUGAGGAGCCGGCCUCUCCAAUGAGGAAACCAGCGACAUGCAAGAGAACGGCGAAGCCCGAAGCAGCCCCCAAGAUCCUUUGCAUCACUCCUCGGGCCAAUCAUCUCUGUUUGAGGUACGUGACAUAGCAAGUGCCCUCCUGUAAAAUCCGUACCCAUGGGAUUGCUCUGUUUCUCUGUGUUUGGGCAGCUUGGCGCGGUUCAAACAGGGUUCAGGAAAGUGCACGCUUGUGAGGGUACGCAAGAUCUACAGGAACCCCUUCAUGUGCUCGGUCAGUGUUGGAGAG